rnacentral:rRNA from 1 species
UACGAAGGGGGCUAGCGUUGUUCGGAAUCACUGGGCGUAAAGCGCACGUAGGCGGAUCUUUAAGUCAGAGGUGAAAUCCCAAGGCUCAACCUUGGAACUGCCUUUGAUACUGGGGAUCUUGAGUCCGGGAGAGGUGAGUGGAACUGCGAGUGUAGAGGUGAAAUUCGUAGAUAUUCGCAAGAACACCAGUGGCGAAGGCGGCUCACUGGCCCGGUACUGAUGCUGAGGUGCGAAAGCGUGGGGAGCAAACAGG